rnacentral:sRNA from 1 species
GCACCACUCUGGGCCUGCUGCCCACACUGACUGCGGGGUCCGGGAGAGCGGGAUGCUGGCCGGCCGCGCCUGGCUUCUUGGAAAGAGCAGGAAGGAGCGCGAGAAUGCAGUUCCGCGGCAGGUGAUCAUCCCAGCAGCUUCGGGCUCUCGGUUGUGGUUUUUACACCUAUGACAAAUGACAUGGCCAAACACACCAUAAUGUCUGAAGGUACAGGUAGCCCUAAGCGCCUGCUCGUCACGGAAGAGACUGUCUUGAGAGCACAGAAACCUCUGUAGAGGAGCAGGAUGCAACCGACAGGCUGUGGCCGGACAGCUGCUGCCCAGCACAUGGAGCCUGCACGCGCACGGUUUGGCCAAAGAAGCCCCCAUACUCCCGGUGAAAAAGAUGGAGUCUUGCUCUGUUGCCCAGGCUGGAGUACAGUGAUGUGAUCUCAGCUCACUGCAACCUCCCUCUCCCAGUUUCAAGUGAUCUCCUGCCUCAGCCUCUGGAGUAGCUGGGAUUACAGAUUUCCAGAAGCUGUUCUGUCAAUAACAAAGUCUCAAAACCACAAAACCACCAACACUAAGAUCAUUCUUGAGUCCAAUUUGAAAAACUAGGGUCAAGUUCUGCAGAGGCAUUGAAAGGACAAGAAGCCACCCUAAUACCCAUCGUGUGAGGGAAAAUGCUCUAUUCACCAUUCCUCAGCUUCUGCUUCUGGUUUCAGAGUUCUCUCUAUAUUGGAGGGUGUUUUAAAGCUAGAGUGGUCUUUAUCCACUUUUAUUAACACAUCUGAAUGUGAAGGUCAAGAGAGGAAAGUGAUAUGUCCUAAGUCAGAGUAGAGUCAACAAGAAAAUAAGACAAACAGCAACUGAGCCCCUGGUGUAUACUGGGCAUUGGCCAGCUACUGGGGAUAUGGAGAUGAAGAAAACGUAACCCUUCUUCAAGGAGCCCAACCUACCAAGGUAGACAGACAUAUAGACAAAUAGAUACUUGCAUAGAAAAAAAGAGGAAAAGGGGAUCAGUGUGAUCUGUGUAACUAAGUACCCUAUACAACCCUCCUGCAACAGAUCAUAUUGCCCUUUAUAGUGGGGAUGGUAAUCCCAUCUCUGAAUCCACAGGUACUUUGUAGUCAUACCACACCCAUGUGUCUGUCGGUCCUGACUGUACCAUUUAUAAACAGCUUCACUUUCAGCAGUUCUCAGCCCUCUUAAGCUAGGGUCAUUGUCAGUAGGGAUACUGCUUCACAAGCAUCAGCAGAACACCAAAGGAGACCAUAUGGGUGAAAGCAACCAGCACUG